rnacentral:rRNA from 1 species
CCCCUAGUAACUGCGAGUGAAGCGGGAAAAGCUCAAAUUUAAAAUCUGGCGGUUUUGUCGCCCGAGUUGUAAUCUGGAGAAGCGUUUUCCGUGCCGGACCGUGUACAAGUUUCUUGGAACAGAGCGUCAUAGAGGGUGAGAAUCCCGUCCAUGACACGGACUCCCGGUGCUUUGUGAUACGCUCUCGAAGAGUCGAGUUGUUUGGGAAUGCAGCUCAAAAUGGGUGGUAAGCUCCAUCUAAAGCUAAAUAUUGGCGAGAGACCGAUAGCGAACAAGUACCGUGAGGGAAAGAUGAAAAGCACUUUGGAAAGAGAGUUAAACAGUACGUGAAAUUGUUGAAAGGGAAACGCUUGAAGUCAGUCGCGUCUUAUUUGACUCAGCCUUGCUUCGGCUUGGUGUAUUUCAAGUAGGAUGGGUCAACAUCGAUUUUGGCCGGUGGACAAGGGGUUAAGGAAUGUGGCACUCUUCGGAGUGUGUUAUAGCCUUUUCUCAUAUACAUCGGUUGGGAUUGAGGCCCGCAGCGCGCCCUUGUGGCCGGAGGUUCGCCUCACGUAACGCGCUUAGGAUGUUGGCAUAAUGGCUUUAAGCGACC